rnacentral:rRNA from 1 species
UAAGCAUAUCAAUAAGCGGAGGAAAAGAAACCAACAGGGAUUGCCCUAGUAACGGCGAGUGAAGCGGCAACAGCUCAAAUUUGAAAUCUGGCCUCGGCCCGAGUUGUAAUUUGCAGAGGAAGCUUUAGGCGCGGCACCUUCUGAGUCCCCUGGAACGGGGCGCCAUAGAGGGUGAGAGCCCCGUAUAGUUGGAUGCCUAGCCUGUGUAAAGCUCCUUCGACGAGUCGAGUAGUUUGGGAAUGCUGCUCAAAAUGGGAGGUAAAUUUCUUCUAAAGCUAAAUACCGGCCAGAGACCGAUAGCGCACAAGUAGAGUGAUCGAAAGAUGAAAAGCACUUUGAAAAGAGGGUUAAAUAGCACGUGAAAUUGUUGAAAGGGAAGCGCUUGUGACCAGACUUGCGCCGGGCUGAUCAUCCGGUGUUCUCACCGGUGCACUCUGCCCGGCUCAGGCCAGCAUCGGUUCUCGCGGGGGGAUAAAGGCCCAGGGAACGUAGCUCCUCCGGGAGUGUUAUAGCCCUGGGUGCAAUGCCCUCGCGGGGACCGAGGUUCGCGCAUCUGCAAGGAUGCUGGCGUAAUGGUCACCAGCGACCCGUCUUGAAACACGGACCAAGGAGUCAAGGUUUUGCGCGAGUGUUUGGGUGUAAAACCCGCACGCGUAAUGAAAGUGAACGUAGGUGAGAGCUUCGGCGCAUCAUCGACCGAUCCUGAUGUUUUCGGAUGGAUUUGAGUAGGAGCGUUAAGCCUUGGACCCGAAAGAUGGUGAACUAUGCUUGGAUAGGGUGAAGCCAGAGGAAACUCUGGUGGAGGCUCGCAGCGGUUCUGACGUGCAAAUCGAUCGUCAAAUCUGAGCAUGGGGGCGAAAGACUAAUCGAACCAUCUAGUAGCUGGUUACCGCCAAAGU